rnacentral:rRNA from 1 species
UACGUAGGGUGCAAGUGUUAAUCGGAAUUACUGGGCGUAAAGCGUGCGCAGGCGGUUAUGUAAGUCAGAUGUGAAAUCCCCGGGCUCAACCUGGGAAUGGCAUUUGAGACUGCAUGGCUAGAGUGUGUCAGAGGGGGGUAGAAUUCCACGUGUAGCAGUGAAAUGCGUAGAUAUGUGGAGGAAUACCGAUGGCGAAGGCAGCCCCCUGGGAUAACACUGACGCUCAAGCACGAAAGCGUGGGGAGCAAACAGG